rnacentral:rRNA from 1 species
UAAAGGGUCCGUAGGCGGACUCGUAAGUCAGUGGUGAAAUCUCAUAGCUUAACUAUGAAACUGCCAUUGAUACUGCGGGUCUUGAGUAAGGUAGAGGUAGCUGGAAUAAGUAGUGUAGCGGUGAAAUGCAUAGAUAUUACUUAGAACACCAAUUGCGAAGGCAGGUUACCAUGUCUUAACUGACGCUGAUGGACGAAAGCGUGGGGAGCGAACAGGAUUAGAUACCCAGU